UCCCUGGUGGUCUAGGGGUGAGGACUCAGCACUUCCACCGCUGCAGCCCAGGUUUGAUCCCUGGUAUGAGAA
rnacentral:tRNA from 1 species